rnacentral:rRNA from 1 species
UACGAAGGGUGCUAGCGUUGUUCGGAAUCACUGGGCGUAAAGCGCACGUAGGCGGAUGUGUCAGUCAGGGGUGAAAUCCCGGAGCUCAACUUCGGAACUGCCUUUGAUACAGCACAUCUGGAGUCCGGAAGAGGUGGGUGGAAUUCCUAGUGUAGAGGUGAAAUUCGUAGAUAUUAGGAAGAACACCGGUGGCGAAGGCGGCCCACUGGUCCGGUACUGACGCUGAGGUGCGAAAGCGUGGGGAGCAAACAGG